UGGGGAAUAUUGCACAAUGGGCGCAAGCCUGAUGCAGCAACGCCGCGUGAGGGAUGACGGCCUUCGGGUUGUAAACCUCUUUUAGUAGGGAAGAAGCGAAAGUGACGGUACCUGCAGAAAAAGCACCGGCUAACUACGUGCCAGCAGCCGCGGUAAUACGUAGGGUGCGAGCGUUGUCCGGAAUUAUUGGGCGUAAAGAGCUCGUAGGCGGUCUGUCGCGUCUGCUGUGAAAAUCCCCGAGGCUCAACCUCGGGCCUGCAGUGGGUACGGGCAGACUAGAGUGCGGUAGGGGAGAAUGGAAUUCCUGGUGUAGCGGUGGAAUGCGCAGAUAUCAGGAGGAACACCGAUGGCGAAGGCAGUUCUCUGGGCCGUAACUGACGCUGAGGAGCGAAAGCGUGGGGAGCGAACAGGAUUAGAUACCCUGGUAGUCCACGCCGUAAACGUUGGGCGCUAGAUGUGGGGACCAUUCCACGGUUUCCGUGUCGCAGCUAACGCAUUAAGCGCCCCGCCUGGGGAGUACGGCCGCAAGGCUAAAACCCC
rnacentral:rRNA from 1 species